rnacentral:misc_RNA from 1 species
GAUGAAGAACGUAGCGAAAUGCGAUAAGUAAUGUGAAUUGCAGAAUUCAGUGAAUCAUCGAAUCUUUGAACGCACAUUGCGCCCCCCAGUAUUCUGGCGGGCAUGCCUGUUCGAGCGUCAUUUCAACCAUCAAGCCCUGCUUGUGUUGGGGUCCUGCGGCUGCCCGCAGGCCCUGAGAACCAGUGGCGGGCUCGCUAGUCACACCGAGCGCAGUAGCACAUCUCGCUCAGGGCGUGCGGCGGGCUCCAGCCGUUAAAGCACCCACCUUUCGCAAGGUUGACCUCGGAUCAGGUAGGAAUACCCGCUGAACUUAAGCAUAUCAAUAAGCGGAGGA